GAUGAACGCUAGCGGCAGGCUUAAUACAUGCAAGUCGAGGGGCAGCACGGUUAGCAAUAACUGGUGGCGACCGGCGCACGGGUGCGUAACACGUAUACAAUCUACCUUAAACAGGGGGAUAGCCUUUCGAAAGAGAGAUUAAUACCCCGUAAUAAAUUGAACGGCAUCGUUUGAUUUUGAAAGCUCCGGCGGUUUGAGAUGAGUAUGCGUCUGAUUAGCUAGUUGGUGAGGUAACGGCUCACCAAGGCGACGAUCAGUAGGGGAUCUGAGAGGACUAACCCCCCACACUGGUACUGAGACACGGACCAGACUCCUACGGGAGGCAGCAGUAAGGAAUAUUGGUCAAUGGAGGCAACUCUGAACCAGCCAUGCCGCGUGCAGGAUGACGGCCCUAUGGGUUGUAAACUGCUUUUAUACAAGAGAAAACCCUGGUACGUGUACCAGGUUGAUAGUAUUGUAAGAAUAAGCAUCGGCUAACUACGUGCCAGCAGCCGC
rnacentral:rRNA from 1 species